AUAACUUAGUGCAUGCGGGGUGAGUAAUGUAUAGGAAUCUACCUAGUAGUACGGAAUAAUUGUUGGAAACGACAACUAAUACCGUAUACGCCCUACGGGGGAAAAAUUUAUUGCUAUUAGAUGAGCCUAUAUUAGAUUAGCUAGUUGGUGGGGUAAUAGCCUACCAAGGUAAUGAUCUAUAGCUGAUCUGAGAGGAUGAUCAGCCACACUGGAACUGAGAUACGGUCCAGACUCCUACGGGAGGCAGCAGUGGGGAAUAUUGGACAAUGGGCGAAAGCCUGAUCCAGCCAUGCCGCAUGAGUGAAGAAGGCCUUUGGGUUGUAAAGCUCUUUUAGUGAGGAAGAUAAUGACGGUACUCACAGAAGAAGUCCUGGCUAACUCCGUGCCAGCAGCCGCGGUAAUACGGAGAGGGCUAGCGUUAUUCGGAAUUAUUGGGCGUAAAGGGCGCGUAGGCUGGUUAAUAAGUUAAAAGUGAAAUCCCGAGGCUUAACCUUGGAAUUGCUUUUAAAACUAUUAAUCUAGAGAUUGAAAGAGGAUAGAGGAAUUCCUGAUGUAGAGGUAAAAUUCGUAAAUAUUAGGAGGAACACCAGUGGCGAAGGCGUCUAUCUGGUUCAAAUCUGACGCUGAAGCGCGAAGGCGUGGGGAGCAAACAGGAUUAGAUACCCUGGUAGUCCACGCUGUAAACGAUGAAUGUUAAAUAUGGGGAGUUUACUUUCUGUAUUACAGCUAACGCGUUAAACAUUCCGCCUGGGGACUACGGUCGCAAGAUUAAAACUCAAAGGAAUUGACGGGGACCCGCACAAGCGGUGGAGCAUGUGGUUAAUUCGAUGCAACGCGAAAACCUUACCACUUCUGACAUG
rnacentral:rRNA from 1 species